rnacentral:lncRNA from 12 species
CCAUGGCCUGUGGGCAGUGCUGUGGGCACUAGGCACUGGGCAGUGGGCACUCGGCAGGGAUCAGUGGUGUGGCUGGGGGGUCAGUGGUGUGGCUGGGUGGUUACUGGUCCCUGGUGUGUCUGGGUGGUCACUGGUCACUGCUCUGGCUCUUGCAGGUCUCCCUCAGCCCCAGCACCCAGCACAGCCCUGAGCAGAGGUCCUUCCGUGAGAGGCAGAAGUAUUUCGAGGUGGAGGUGAAGCAGCAGCACCUGGACAAACCUCCCAAGCGCGUGUCCCUGGUGGGGGUGGUGUGGCUGGGUGGUCAGUGCUGUGUCUGGGUGGUCAGUGGUCACUGGUCACUGCUCUGUCCCCUGCAGGUUGCCCUCAGCCCUGGCACUCAGCACAGCCCUGAACAGUUUGCAGUGGUCACUGGUCCCUGGUGUGUCUGGGUGGUCACUGCUCUGGCUCUUGCAGGUCUCCCUCAGCCCCAGCACCCAGCACAGCCCUGAGCAGAGGUCCUUCCGUGAGAGGCAGAAGUAUUUCGAGGUGGAGGUGAAGCAGCAGCACCUGGACAAACCUCCCAAGCGCGUGUCCCUGGUGGGGGAGGAUGACCUGAAGAAGAUGAAGGAGGAGGAAGGCUGGUCAGUGGUGUGGCUGGGUGGUCAGUGGUCACUGCUCUGUCCCCUGCAGGUCGCCCUCAGCCCCAGCACCCAGCACAGCCCUGAGCAGAGGUCCUUCCGUGAGAGGCAGAAGUAUUUCGAGGUGGAGGUGAAGCAGCAGCACCUGGACAAACCUCCCAAGCGCGUGUCCCUGGUGGGGGAGGAUGACCUGAAGAAGAUGAAGGAGGAGGAAGCCCGAAAGCUGCAGCAGCAGCGAGCCCUGCUGCUGGAGGAGGAGGCUGAGGAGGAGGAGGAGGAGGUGAGGAAGGUGCCCGAGGCUCUGCAGUCCAGCAUCAUCAUCGAGGGCGUGGAGUACAAGGUGGAGAGGCUGAAUGGAAGGAGCAGCCAGGCUGCAGCAGCUCGGUCCCUGGAGCUCAGUGAGAACAGCAGCUCGCAGAGGAAUUCCCUGGAGGACGGGAUCAAGUCUGAGCACAGAACCAACUCCAUGUCAGGGCUCGACCCCGGCCCGGCCCCGGUGCGCACGGCCAAGGCUGAGCGGCGGCAGCAGGAGCGGCUGCGCGUGCAGAGCCCCGAGCUGCUGCCCCAGGACAGGGACAGGGACAAGGAGCUGUCCCCAGCCGAGCGCCGGGCCCUGGAGGCGGAGAAACGAGCCAUGUGGAGGGCAGCACGGAUGAAGUCACUGGAGCAGGACGCUCUCAAGGCCCAGAUGGUCAUUGCCAAGUCCAAGGAGGGGAAGAAGCGCAGCACGCUGGAGCAGCUGGCAGAGUCACCCUCACCUGCGCCCACGCCGUCCCCAACACCGCUGGAAGAUUGCAGCCCCAGGAACGUCACUUCCCCAGGAAGGCUGUCACUGUCUGAAAAGAAGUUUGACUACCGGGAAUUUGCUGCUAUUCCUUCCUCCAAACCUGUUUACGAAAUCCAGUCCCCUGAUGCAGCUGAUGACCUCAGAUUCGUGGCUGACAGGAGCAGCUCAGCUCCCUGGGAGCAGGACGGGCAACCCGAGCAGGAGCAGGAGGAGGCCCUGGGAGGCCGGGACUCAACAGCAGCAGCAGCAGCAGCUCCCCCAGCCCUGGAGGACGUGGCCCUGUUCAGCAGCAAGCGCAAGCUCCGGCACGGCCGGCGCAGCCUGGAGACCGCUGUCCCCACAUAGGUGACACCUGGCACGGCGCCGGCCUGGCACAGCCCUGCUGUGCUCGGGGACAUCCCCAGGCUGCCCCUGCCUGAAGACUGCAUGGGUCUGGGCUGCCCCUGGCCCUGUGGCCAAGUGACUCCUCCGAGGCUGUGAACCGCCCUCGUGUCUCACCCGACAGUGCACUGGGGCACAUCCCAAUACUGGGACAACACUGGACUGAUGCUGGCAGAUGGAGAGGAAGGGUGGCCAGGACAGUGGGCAGCUUGUUAGCCUGUAAAUAUUGUGUGUGGGGAGGGUAGGACAGGGAGAAUGUAGGAGUGUGAGAGUGUGUUGGGCUCCAGCUGUUACUGCCUCAGCUUGGGUUUUUUAGUGGUUAAAAGGAGCUUCUCCUCUGGUGGGAUCAGGAGGAAGGCCCAGCCUGCCUUUACUCCUAUUUAAUUUCCAGUCUUUUGCCGAAAAGCAUCUUCUCCCACCUCCUGCACUGUGUCACCUCACUUCCCUUUGGGAGUGUUUGGGAAUGGGAAGCUUGGAGGCAAAAAGAAGGAAAAGAAAAAAAAAACCCUCCAGAAUUUCAGCCAAGUGCCUCCCUCUGCCACUGGCACUCUGUGCUCCAGGAACCCAGAGGCAGCUCUGCCUGCUGUCCUGGGGAGAGGUCCCUCCCCCUGGUCACACGGUGUGAGCACUCCACGAGCACACAGAGGGGGAGUCUGUCCCCUGCAGCACCGGGGCAGCAAUGGGAUGGAGCCCAGAGCCGCAGCAGGGGUGUGGGGGGUGUGGCAGCAGUGGGGAGCAGGACACUGGCAGAGGUGGGAGGUGUGACAGCAGGUACCUUAGUGGGUAGAGUUCAGGAUUGGGGGUGGGUGGAAUGUGGCGUUGCUGGGGUCAGGUUGGGAGUUCCAGGAUCAGCGGGAGACACUGCUGGGGAGUGCUCAGUGGUAGGUGGAGAGGGAAGCACGGGUGCUGCUGUGGGCUGGCAGCACCAGGAGCACCAGAGCACCAGGAGCAGGAUGGGGCUGGCCUGUGCCUUGCAAUAACUACACAGUUCCACUUUGCCAGCUCGUUGGCUUUGGGCCCCUUUCCACGGAGGACACGGAAAAUGCACGUUUGCCCAUGCAAGAGGGAAAAGGGAAAAUGAGAAGUGAGUGGGGUAUGAGUCCUGGUUUCCACACGUGGAACAAGGGCUGUGAGCAGGUUCUGUAUCGUGUGAGCUCUGCAGAUGUGGACCUCACAGCUGCUGCUCCCAGCUCUGCCAUCAGCCUCUGCUGCCACCAGUGAGGGGAAACAACCCUUUUGGUUUUUUUUCACUGCCUCUAACCGUGAGGAAGGUCCGAGCUCGGCACAAUCCCGUUCCCUGUCCAUUGGUGCUCUCUGACUCCCCAGUAAGACCAGGGUUGGACCUUGAGCCUCACAGUGGCUGGGCAGUGACAGGCACAUCUGCUUGUACAUUUGCUGAAGGAAAGAGCUGGAUGCAGAUUUUUGGGUGCAGUUCUUUAGCUGAGCCUCUCCUUUCAUGCCAAAAUCCAGCGGAUCAUUUUAACUGACUCUGUAUGUUUUGAUUUUACAGACUUGUGAAGGGGGAACUCAAUCUCACAGCAGCAGCUGCAGCUGCUUCCAUCAUCAGCAAUUUGAGCUUUUCCUUUUUAAAUCUAAUUUUAGCAUUUGCUUUUUAACAACAGCAGUUUUGGAAACAAUCCUGGCUGGGUUUUGGUGACUAACUUGUGAUUCUUCUCUCCUUUCCCUGUGCGGUACCUGGUGCCAGGCUCUGGAUUCUCUCUUGUUCUCUCCCAAGAGACUCCGAGGGAAAAUUAGCGCAUCAAGACUGUAACUAGUGAAAUUUGUACAACCAAAGAAAUCUAUUUUGUGGUUCAAGGAUAAUAAAGUUUACUUUACAUUUUAGAGCCUUUAGUCACAGUGUUUUUCCCUGUGUGAAGUCUGCAAUUCCAGUAUCAGCACUUGGGUGAUGGUUGUUACUCACUGCAUAAUCCAGCAGAUAUGCUCCUGCUUCUGAGAGCAGGGAUUAAUGCACGCCCAAAUUACUGCCAGCUCUGAGAAUAUCAGCAUUCAGGGAUGGGAAAAAAAAACAAUAUGAAACACAGUGAUCUUCAGUGUCUUGGCUUUCCUUACUUGGCUGUGUUUAAAAACAACUCCAAAAA